UCAAUUUCAAUAUCUGGAAACGCAAUUCCAUGCAACAUGUCAAGGAACUCUUGUUUCCAUAGUAAGUCGAAGGGAAGUCAAAAGGAUCAUCGUCGCGUCCAGCUGUUUGUAAUCUUAGAAAAUAUUAUUGUGUUUUUUUCCCGGGCUGAAUCGGAAAUGGCAUACUUCCUUACUAAUAGGCAAAAAGCAGUAGGCGAACAAAUAGUAUGUCCGAAUCGUCAGUUUUCACAAAACAGUAGGCGAGCAAUACGUUUGUUUACUAUUUCUCCCGAGAUUUGGACGUGAAUACUUUGUGUCCAAAUAUGCCUACCUACCUACCUACUAUGUAGAAGAAAACAUGAACAGAGUAGUAUGUCCGAAUCGUCAAUAAUCUAAAAGAGUAAGCGAGAAAUUCCGGGAUUGUUUACUGGUUACGCCCAGAUUAGAAGUACUCAGCAACGGAUACUUGAAAUGCUCUAAAUCCCAUGAUGAGCCCACGGGACAGGAUACCACGCAGAGCCCCAAAAACAGUCUCAGCCAACUUUCAGCAGAUUACAUCUCUCAUGUGGAUCCUGUCCAGUGUGUUAUACUUGUUCUAGAUCACUUGAAAGGGACCAAACACAAUUCAUUUUUGUCUUCAGUCCACAUUGGGGUAAAGGGGGAAUUAUGUAAAAUUACUGCCUUUUCUCUGGAAGAAACCUUUAUGUCUAAACUAGAUGGCUACACGCCAAAACUCUUGGAGCUUAUGAAAGCUAAGGGAGGUGUUGCAGGACUCAAGAUUCAGCCUAUACUCAAUGUAUUGACUCAGGUAUGUGACAAGUAGCUGUAUAA